rnacentral:rRNA from 1 species
GACGAACGCUGGCGGCGUGCUUAACACAUGCAAGUCGAACGGAAAGGCCCUGCUUUUGUGGGGUUCUCGAGUGGCGAACGGGUGAGUAACACGUGAGUAACCUGCCCUUGACUUUGGGAUAACUUCAGGAAACUGGGGCUAAUACCGGAUAUGAGCUCCUGCUGCAUGGUGGGGGUUGGAAAGUUUCGGCGGUUGGGGAUGGACUCGCGGCUUAUCAGCUUGUUGGUGUGGUAGUGACUUACCAAGGCUUUGACGGGUAGCCGGCCUGGGAGGGUGACCGGCCACAUGGGUACUGCGAGAGGGCGCAGUCUGGUAUGGGAGGCAGUAGUGGGGAGUCUUGCGGAGUGGGCCGAAGCCUGUUGUAGCAACGCCGCGUGCGGAAUGCUGGGUUUCGGGGUGUAAACCGAUUUGGAAGGUGACGAAGCGAGAGUGACGGUAAUGGGUCAAGAAGCACCGGCUAACUACGUG